GGUUGUGGUUCAGUGAUAAAGCACUUACCUAGCAUGCAUGAGGUCCUGGGUUCGAUCCCCGACACCA
rnacentral:tRNA from 1 species